rnacentral:rRNA from 1 species
CAGUAGCCGCGGUAAUACAGAGGACGCAAGCGUUAUCCGGAAUGAUUGGGCGUAAAGCGAGCGCAGGCGGUCAAUUAAGUCUGAUGUGAAAGCCCCCGGCUCAACCGGGGAGGGUCAUUGGAAACUGGUUGACUUGAGUGCAGAAGAGGAGAGUGGAAUUCCAUGUGUAGCGGUGAAAUGCGUAGAUAUAUGGAGGAACACCAGUGGCGAAGGCGGCUCUCUGGUCUGUAACUGACGCUGAGGCUCGAAAGCGUGGGUAGCAAACAGGAUUAGAUACCCGAGUAGUCCCUGUCUCUUAUAC